GGCAACCGUCACUCGUAUAGCGUAUCCCAUAGGAUGCCUUCUCGCUUUCUCUCGGCGGAUCGCGGCUAGGUCAGAACAGUUUGCACUCGACUGUCGCCUCGUGGUUUUUGCCAUGUUUCCGAAAAACUGGACACGCUCCCUUCUUUGCUGCUAGUUGCGGGCGGCUCUGACAGCCAGGGUCGACGAACGCCUUUUCGUUGGGAAGGACGCAGCUGUCUCAAGCAAAUGGCGACGUCUUCACGCAGCGAGCAAAAGAAAAACGGGCAGUGGACCUUUGCACGGUUCAUUACACCGUCUGCGGCGAAGUUCGUUUUGUCCAGAGCCCAGGUAUCAGCACGAACUCCACCGACGAAACAGGUCCCUUGCAGGUCUAAAUCUAGCACGACUCACGGCAAGUCUACGAAGUACGACCACAUUCGCCAUGAGAAGUGGCUCUUCUGGUUGUAGAACAAGCGACGCCGGAAGCUAGCAGAUGAACUCCACCACGUGAUCAUGAACGAAAGCCUGACAAUUCUCAUCAUGUGCGACAUGCGUCUCUCUCUCUCUCUUUUUUACCUGUGUGCGUAGAAGAGGCUGGCAUCGUGUGUCAUGCCCUUUAGGCAAAACAGUGCGCAGUAAAUAUUUACCGACUCUAUGAAACAUGCAGACUAACAAGAAAGUUUUAAACACACUAACACAGAGUUCACAAAAAAAAAGUUGAAGUUAGAUAAUUAUAUGUCAGAACACAACAAUUUCAACAGAGCAGUCAUAUGCAGUUCGCUUCAACAUCAAGGAAAUAUACACUCUAUACGAUACUUUAUAUACAGGUCCACAUCACAGGUCGCGACAUUAAUAUCAAAGGCGUCCACUUAAAACUAACGAAUGAUUGUAAUAAAACUUUUUUCACGAAGCUUCCGUUCUUGACUGGGAAUCGCAUCAUGCUUCCAGUCGACAUUGGGGAGAGUGUGUCAGAGACAGAGCUCGCUGUAAUUUUGUGUUUCAGCGCCGCAAGGGUUAGAUAACACGCAUGAAAUCGGCGGAGUGUUCGUGCAGCUUCUGUGCAAAGGGCAGUGGACUGCUGUAACUGUGAUAAAUAUGCGUUGAAAAUUCUUUUCUCACGGUACGUCAGAAGGUUGCGAAAGCUGCGCAAACUGAAGCCACGACUAAACGUAACGCCAAAAGGCUUCAAAAAACCAACCCCGUUUCUUUCUUUCUUUUGGCAAUUAAUUUCGAUGGUGAUCGUUGUAGACGCUAUUUGAGGGGUAGAUGUUACGCGUGCACGCAUAUGCUCUUGAAGGUUGAGGAGGAUGAAAAAGAAGGGGAAUGGCAAGGUGGUCGUUAAGUCUAUGUACUGGCUGUCUAGCCUUUUUGAAGCAAGUUGUGUGCACUCAAGCAGUACUUACUUGGCAGAAUACUCAGCACGUCCGCCAAAGAACGCAUUCACAUCUACAUCAAUCCGACAUAUCCGAAGAGCAAUGGCCCAGAAAUCGUGUUGUACAAGGCAGCAGGUUUGUAAAAUAGAUUUGACGCUUGGCAACCUUGUAAUAUAUACUUGAUUUUUUGCAAUCUUGUAACGUAUAUGGUGCUCUGUCGGCAUUCGUGAAUCAUUUAAGCUUAGUAUUGUAGUCUGUAUGUUCGGUAAUGCGACGUGACGAAGCAUCACCUUAGACGUCCAGCCACACCCUUCACCACUAUACGACCAGCCGUAGGUCAAUAUAU
rnacentral:lncRNA from 1 species